AUGAAAAUUUUCUGGAUGUUGACUUUUAGUAGGAUUCUGGCUUGUGCCUAUUUUCUGCUACUACUCCCAGCUGUUUUUUGGACUCUCUCCCAUCUGAUUUCUUAUGAAAGGCCAACUCUUCUCACACAGCUCCUCAGAGCCAUCAGCACUUCUGCCCAGUGGGUGCCAUGCAGCUCUGUGCAAGGUGUUUCCCAGAGGCCUGGCUGUCUAUAUAUAGUUCAAGAGAGACAAUACAAAGUUUGUGCACUUGUCAGUGGAGGCUGGCUGCAAUGGCAUGCGAUGAUAAGCUUCCUGUGCCUCAGCAUGGUUUCAUGGAAAUGUGGUAGUGAUGGAGGAUCACCAGCCCAACACUUGGCUGAGGUCAGGCUGCACCAAGUACAAUGACAUGAAAAAGAGAGAAAUCAUCAAUCAAGACUGUGGCUUUCAAAUCUUCCAAGCUUUGGUAAUUUCAAACUGCAACUGGAACAGUUGCCUUGGAUGCUGAACUGCACAAGUUUGGUUUUCACAGGUCUGUCAUCCUUGCUCCAGCUUCUUAAUUUUCAUGUCUGCCAUCUCUAAACAAAACCCCUUCAUCUCACUCCAUCUCUGAUGUGGUGACACAGACUGUGGACUACACCAGAUAUUAUUAAUACCAAGGAUCCUACAGCUCUCCCAUCAGAUUUGAACAACAACAACGACAAAAAAAAAAAAAACAACAAAAAAACAAAAAACCACAGUUCUGUGUCUAUUUCUGUUUUGUUUUAUAUUCUAUAUGGUGGAAUGAGAUAGAAUGAUACAAAAAAUCAAGGGAAUGAGAGGCAUGAAUUUGCUAUGCUGCUUUUUGUUUUAUACAUGAUGUCAGGGUUUGGGAAUUACUUUUAUUUUUCUUUAUUUUUUUCCCUAAAAUGUGUGUUAAUGCAGCCUCAAUUCCCUUUUGAAGAAGGGUGUCAAAGGAAACCAUCCAUCAGAAUACCUUUUGGCCAUUUCUGUUUGUUCUUGUUUGAUUUUGUAAUGAUAGGCCCAUACUAAGUGACAAAUAAACCUUUAAAGAUAGCAAGCCUAAAUGUGCCU
rnacentral:lncRNA from 1 species